AUGCCGGCCCGCUCCCCCGCGGCCGGAUGGGGAACGGAACGGCGGGGCGAGGGGCGGGAAGGGCCCGCCGAGCCCCCGCCGGGUAACAAUGGGGCCGACGCACGGCCGGGCGCCGAGCGGGAGAGCCGGGCGCAGCGCCCCGCCGCCGCCGCUCGCUUCGGGCCGCCCCGCCGCCGCUCCGCCCGCUCCCCCCGCCAAUAUGGCUCCACCGGAGGCUCCGCAGGGGUGCGCGGCGCGGCGGGGGCCCGAUCCGGUGCCGAUACUCACGGGCGGAGCGGUAGGAUGAAGCUGGAUCUCGGCCCCCCCCAGGCCGCUCGCCGCCUGCCUCUCCCCCUGCCUUUCACUCCGACAACAUGGCGGCCCACUGGGGACGGGCGGCGCGCUGCAUGCCGGGAAGGCGAGGCGGCCCGGCCGAGGGCGGCCCGGCCGCGGCCCUGGGUAGGCCCCGCGCGGUUUGGGGGCGGCUCCGCACGGCCCGGGUUCGGCUCCGCGCCGUUGUUGGCGUUCCUCGAGCCGGGCUUUCACCGCUCGCCGCUCUCCGUUCCCAUUUUCACUGUUUUUUUCCCUCACAAAUGUGCACGCUCUGCCCCACGCCUCACCGUGCCGCCUGACUGGGGAUGUGGAGGAGCCCAGUCCCGCUGUUUUGUCCCGGGCACCGCUCACCACUAUGGGCGCUCACCUCUAACAGCUCGUGUUUCCAUGAGAAGCAGCACAACGUUUUUGGGAGACAGCAGCCAAGCGAACAAAGCAGCUGGUGAAGUUUUGUGGUUGCUGAAAGCUGGAGGAAGUCCUGGCUGCAGAGCCACCUGGCAACAGUCAAGUCAGAAAGUUUCAUCUUGGCUGGAAAAUCACUUUUUCUUGCAAAAAACACAAGAUCCCCUUACAUGGGGGACACAGCGCCUCAUCCCCAUUUCUAAUCAUUAGAGCUCUGAAGCAUGCAGCCGGUUAAGCUUUCCAGAUUGUUUGUUAUCGUUAACUACAUCAACUCUGGAUUUUCUUGACAGGCAAUUACAUGACUAAGCCUUUCGGAAGCUCAGCCUGAAUGCAACAAGUCCCAGGGCCUGAUUGUGCUUCAUGGGGAGUGACUCCCCCUAUCACUCUAUGUUUGCCAUUUGCAUUUCACUGGCUCUCUCUGGGCACUGGAGGAUGAUUCCACCUCUGGGAUGUCUCCAGAGAGGAGGGUGACAACAUGCUGCUGCUGACCACCCUCCCUGUGGUGCAGCUAUCUGCAUAUCUGCAGAAAGAAAAAAGAAAAAAAAAAAAAAGAAAAAAAAAAAAGGAAAGUUUAGCCGUUUACAGCAUCAUCCCAGCUGCAGAUUUGCAUGCUCACAUUUAGGAAAUACCAGAAUUAAAUUUGCCUGCGCAACCUUAAUUCAACCCCCUCGGGCACAUGCUUUGUGAUCCAGCCUUUAAUUACAGGUUUGCAGACGAGGUUUUUCCCACAGCGCCUGUGGCCCAGUUAGUGCCCAGGCUGGCUCUGCGGGGGGAAGGGGGACACAUCCCUGGGACCCCCUAAGUCCCGACUUUCAGAGACUGGAGGGAGAAAAAAGGAGCUCUGAUGCUCAAAAUGCACACGUGCUUCUCUAGCCUUGUGCAACUCGAGCAGCUGAGCCACAAUUCAGGGCUCUGGAGGGUUUGGUUGUGAAGCUAAGAGGAUGGAGCUGGGUGUGGUGAGUGUGCGGGGGUCGGGUACCUAUAGGGCUGGGGCACACAGAGGCUCCCUGAUGCACCUCCAAACCCCACUGCAGCCCCAAAUCCUGAUCCAAACAGCACUCAGCUUCAAACCCCAAUGCAGUUCUAAACCCCAAUGCAGUUCUAAACCCCAAUGCAGCUCCAAACUCUACUGCAGCUCUGAACCUCAUUUAUCUAGAAACCCCUCCUAGAUCCCCUUACUACCUUCACAGUAUAUGGGGCCUGGCUGCCU
ensembl:lncRNA